rnacentral:rRNA from 1 species
GACGUAGGGCGCGAGCGUUGUCCGGAUUUAUUGGGCGUAAAGAGCUCGUAGGCGGCUUGUCGCGUCGUCCGUGAAAACCUGGGGCUCAACUCCAGGCUUGCGGUCGGAUACGGGCAGGCGUCGAGUUCGGUAGGGGAGGACUGGAAUUCCUGGUGUAGCGGUGGAAUGCGUAGAGAUCCGGAAGAACACCGGUGGCGAAGGCGGCCCGCUGGGCAGGAAGGGGUGGGUACCGACCCGGCUGACACUGAGGCGCGACAGCGUGGGGAGCAACAGG